rnacentral:rRNA from 1 species
AUUGAACGCUGGCGGCAGGCUUAACACAUGCAAGUCGAGCGAGCGGCGGACGGGUGAGUAAUGUCUGGGAAACUGCCUGAUGGAGGGGGCUAACUACUGGAAACGGUAGCUAAUAACGCAUAACAUCAGAUGUGCCCAGAUGGGAUUAGCUAGUCGGUGGGGUAAUGGCACAACAAGGGGCCGAUCCCUAGCUGGUCUGAGAGGCUGACCAGCCACACUGGAACUUAGACACGGUCCAGACUCCUACGUGAGGCAGCAGUGGGGAAUAUUGCACAAUGGGCGCAAGCCUGAUGCAGCCAUGCCGCGUGUGUGAAGAAGGCCUUCGGGUUGUAAAGCACUGUCAGCGAGGAGGCGUUACUCGCAGAAGAAGCACCGGCUAACUCCGUGCCAGCAGCCGCGGUAAUUC